AUGGGCUCCAGGCUCCUCUGCUGGGUGACUCUCUGCCUCCUGGGAGCAGGCCUGGUGGAUUCUGAAGUCACCCAGACACCCAAGUACCGGAUCAAAUCAGGAGAACAGCAAGUGACACUGAGAUGUUCCCCUGAAUCUGGACACCGCUCUGUGUACUGGUACCAACAGGCCCUGGGCCAGGGCCCCCUGUUCCUCAUUCAAUAUUACAACAGGGAAGUCCGUGAGAAAGGAAACAUAUCAGAUCGAUUCUCAGGAAUACAGUUCAGUGAUCUUUGCGCAGAGCUGAACUUGAUCUCCUAGGAGCUGAUGGACUCAGCCCUGUAUCUCUGUGCCAGCAGCCAAGACACAGCCCUGCGUGACCAGGUGCCUCUGGGACAAAAACACCCCUGCCCCA